UUUCAUGCAGACACUAAUUCUUUUUCGUUCAACCAUUGAAGUAGCUCGCCUGCUUACCGGUAUAUAGAUAUUUAAAGGUAGUCAAGUCAAGAUCGACGAACCUGAGAGAGGGAUCCAGAAUCUGAGAAACUAAAUGGUAAGGAAGCAACUAGGUUAGACUCCUAAUCUUCUAGAGUAGUCUUACCUGGGGAAACAGACUGUAAU
rnacentral:lncRNA from 1 species